rnacentral:rRNA from 1 species
GCGAACGCUGGCGGCAGGCUUAACACAUGCAAGUCGAACGGAUCCUUCGGGAUUAGUGGCGGACGGGUGAGUAACACGUGGGAACGUGCCUUUAGGUUCGGAACAACAGAGGGAAACUUCUGCUAAUACCGGAUAAGCCCUUCGGGGGAAAGAUUUAUCGCCUUUAGAGCGGCCCGCGUCUGAUUAGCUUGUUGGUGAGGUAAAGGCUCACCAAGGCUACGAUCAGUAGCUGGUCUGAGAGGAUGGCCAGCCACAUUGGGACUGAGACACGGCCCAGACUCCUACGGGAGGCAGCAGUGGGGAAUCUUGCGCAAUGGGCGAAAGCCUGACGCAGCCAUGCCGCGUGGAUGAUGAAGGUCUUAGGAUUGUAAAAUCCUUUCACCGGGGACGAUAAUGACGGUACCCGGAGAAGAAGCCCCGGCUAACUUCGU